CCUACGGGAGGCAGCAGUGGGGAAUAUUGGGCAAUGGGCGCAAGCCUGACGCAGCAACGCCGCGUGAGGGAAGAAGGCUUUCGGGUUGUAAACUUCUUUUCUGAGGGACGAAGAAAGUGACGGUACCUCAGGAAUAAGCCACGUCUAACUACGUGCCCGCAGCCGCGGUAAUACGUAGGGGGCACGCGUUAUCCGGAUUUAUUGGGUGUAAAGGGCGUGUAGGCGGUAAAGCAAGUCAGAUGUGAAAGCUCAGGGCUCAACCCUGAGCCUGCAUUUGAAACUGUUUUUCUUGAGUGCUGGAGAGGCAAGCGGAAUUCCGUGUGUAGCGGUGAAAUGCGUAGAUAUACGGAGGAACACCAGUGGCGAAGGCGGCUUACUGGACAGUAACUGACGCUGAGGCGCGAAAGCGUGGGGAGCAAACAGGAUUAGAUACCCUAGUAGUC
rnacentral:rRNA from 1 species